GAUUUGAAGGCAUAAUCCCACCCUUCAAGGACUUCAUACUCUUUUGGAGAAGAUAAGCAGGUAGGCCACCAAACUCAGUAGCCAACAGUGUACAGCAGUGCUCCCACGAUGGAUGAAUAAUGUGUGGAUGGACAAAAGAAUCCCAAUGAGCUUGGUUGAGCACUACCUUUGCUGGUUUCUCCACUUGUGUCAGAUGAAAGACCGGCCAG
rnacentral:lncRNA from 1 species